GGUUUUGGGGUAUAUUUUGUAAUUUUUGUAAAACUUUUUAAUAAAAAAAAUAACAGGGAGCAAGGUAAAUGAAAUAAAAUGUUAGGACAGCCGAUCCCAAUCUUACUGGGAGAGGGGUCCCCAACGGGAGGAAUGAAAUUCAGUGAGGAUUGCCCCCUCCUGUGGGCUCAUCUUCACGAUUCUGCUGCUGCUCAUCAUUUUACACCAACUAAAGGAGAGAUGAGCUCCUAAGAGGCAAGGAUCCACUUUCCUCCCCGUUAGGAAUUCAGAUUGGUGGUCAGCAUCUUGAAAAAAGCAGGCCAGGAGAAAAAAAAAAGAACCAGGCUGCAUCUUCAAAUACCAUUCGUAUGCAAACAACCCCCCCUUCCAAACCGCCCCCCCCAAACCCUCCCAUCAGGGAGCAGAUUAGGUCUCAAAUUGCACCCAAGCCUUUUUUUUUUUAAUGCUUCCAUUUCAGGAAAUGGGGAUCAGCUCUUGAAAGACCAGCUGAAUAGCAGAGGUGAGCACAAGCAGCAGCUGUAGACUUCAGCCUUGACCCAGCAAUUGUGAGAAGGAAACUAAGGCUUGAAAGUCGAGGGAGGGAGGGAUGUAUAAAAACAGUUCAUGAAGAAGUCCAAUGGUGAUUGUACCUCCCAAGGCUCAAGAUGCCGGGUGGACAGCUGACCAGGAAUAGUGCAACCAGCCAGCAUAAAUUAAUAUGAUUAUUUCCAUUCAGACAAGUCCAAUCUGAGCAAGACAAAUUUAACACUAUUUGGCAGUCUGGCAUUUGAGCAGACAAAUCAUAAAUUAUGGAAGUGGUGACAUUUGCUACAUUUACAGUUUCUAGGAAUAAAAUAGAAAGGCCAUCCCCCCCCCCCUUUUGGAGUAAAUGGCGCCAUGGGUGGCCAACUUCCAGGGAGAGGGACGGCUUUAAAAAAAUUUCUUUUCCCUUUAAGGAGAAACAGCAGCUUGGGAACUGGUAAUGAAUCCUUCAGGGAUUCAAGAGGCAAGAGGGAUCAUCCAUUUGCCUGCCAAAAAGAACUGCAUUUUGGAAGUCUUGAAGAAAAAUUCCAUUCUUCGCAUUUUAAAGAUGUUUGAAAGACACAGUGCAAUCUUUUCAAGGGACGACUGUUAGCACUUCCAAAAGUCUUGUGAAAAGGAGAAAGUCACACUGCAUUAACUGAAAGAAAUAUGGUUGCAUUGGCUCUCAUUGAAAUUCAGGGCUUCAGAAGUCCACAGGCAUGGAUAGCAGUGGCCAGCUUUUUAGGUAAACGUGCUACAAAUCCAAAGAUGAACGAAUGGCACUCUAAUAUAUAGUAAGUGGUAUUAACAUGGGGGAGGAGGGGGAGGGGUUGGCCAACGGCCAAGGUUUUCUCCAAACAUCUGCCAAAUGCCUUUGUCCAGCAAUGACAGAGAAUGCCUGUUGUUCGCUUAUGGCACCCGGUGCAGAAAGUCUUUUGUCAGUUGCAUUUCAGGAUGAGUGAAAAUUAAUUCUUGAGUAGAUUUUUUUAAAGAGAGAGAAAAGAAACCUUUCCAUCGCUAACUUUUAGCGCAGGGAAUUCCUUUAGCUCUGAAAGGCAUAACUGCCUCUCUGCGCAGAUGGAACACAGAAAGGCCCUGGCUGUGAAGGGCAGUUUUGAAUAUGACAGCAGGGAAAUGGGAACUAAAAUUAUAUAAGUUAAGGAUUGCAACAGUACAAUUAAGAUGAAUCUAGUUUUGGUUCUGGCCCCGUCAAGACGGCACCCACCCUCCCCAGCAUGUUUGAAUAAGUCCCAGCCUGAGGCACAGGGGCUCUCCCUGACCCUGAACUGAGGGGGGAGGGCUGGUUUAGCCUGGAUUGCAGCUGAUGAGAAUCAGACUGUUUUUCUGACAUUCCUUCACAGGAAGCAGCAGGCCACAGCUGCCCCAAGACCAGGGUCUGCGCAUUCAGGAAAGGAACAGUGCAGAGGAAUGAACAGGAAACUAAUAGCAGUGUUGACUUUGCUGCUUGUCAAUGCCAGGGACAAUUAGGAAUCAAUGAACUGCGACAGCCUUGCCUCUUUCUGCACUCUCAGGCCCUGUCCCCAUUCCUUAUUUUGAGGAGUUUGGAAGUUUUGUCAUUACUGCUUCAGAUUAACCAGUUUGCCGUGUUACCCACCUUCUAACUAUGGCUACAUCUCUGUAAGGCCCAGAUGCGACCCCCCAAAAGCUCACUCUUUCCUUUGCCUGCUCUUUCAGGGAAAGACCAAGCGAGCUAAAACCACCACCCCAACUUUUAAAAGGGAGCAACUUAAGUGUAUUUUGAACCAUUCGCCCCUAGGACGCAUAAUUGCACUUCUGCAACAGGGAAAAUUGUGGUGAAUUGAAGCAAGAUCUGCACAAAAAUGAAGUCAGAGGGUUAGAGAGGAAGGGAACGUGAUUCCACAAUAAGCCCCAAGUCACACCAAGCCACUACUACUGCUGCUUCACCCUUUCAAAUGCAAGUUGGCAUCAUAAACUUUAAAAUAUACAGGCCAAAGGGGCCUUAAAUGUUUGUUGGCUAGCAUCCACUGAAAACUGAAACCUGCCCUUUGAUUUAAAGUGUGAUAGGUUUCCAUUUAAAAAAAACAAAAAACAAAUAAGCACUUUCAAAAUCUUGAGGCGAUGGUAGUGCCACAAUCUGAUUUUACAUUACUGGAUGAUGCCACUGUUAGAAUGCAACUCAGAACCUUAGGUAUUUGGGCUCCCUUCGGUCAAAAUUUUUGAGCCAUUGCCCUUGGGCGCUUUCUCUGAGAAAGGAAGCCUGUUGCUUUUCUUCUGCUGUUUAACGACAAUGUGUGUACCUGCAUCCCAUACACAGUAAGGACAAAGGGGGAGGUCUGGUCAACACGGCAGGUUUUCAGUUUCUAAAGUGCAAAAUACAAAAGAGGUGGUUUAUCCUUGCGUGGGACACACAGGUGAUUGUGGUCAGUCCUGAAGCAAGCCAUUUUCCAUUGCAAAGUUGCACUCCGUAGCCUGGCUAAUAAAAUGGGAGUAGACAGAGCUUGGCUCAGACAGCACAAACUUCUCUCUAAAUAAAUUUCCCUGUAACACAAUCACCUUAGCAGAUCUACUGAGCAGCAGACUGCUGUAGCCAAGUAUUCUUACGCUUGGAGCUAAAUCCAAUUAUUUUUAUUUUGAUAACUAUACAAAACAAUCAAAUAUACUUCAGGGAGAUUAGGCAUGCCAUGAACACGCUUGUAAUUUGCUACACAGUACUUUUAAAGCAUGCUCUUUCUUUGGAGAUCGCUUUAAUUAUCAGGUCCAUGGCAUUGCUUGGGCUUCAUUUGUAGCCAAACAGCCUUCUUAAAUCCCAUUAGAUCAACUACACUGCUUAUUUAAGCUGGGAGGUGGGGUGGCGUUGCCGUUUCAGCUGCCAGCCCAUUCUUUUAAAAGCAUGCAAUUGCACCCAUCCUGAACAGCCUGACAAACCCACACUAUUUAGUUUUUCAACUUCAGAAAGUAUUCACCACUUUCGUGGGGAUAGGUGGAUCAUGUUAUUACUCUGGGGGACAAUUAAGUUCUGGCAGAUAGAGAUUUAUUCAUCCUGUUGCACUUUAUACUCUUUCCCAGCCAGAAUAAUUAGCACAAGAAUUUUCAUGUCCAAACUGACAUGCUGUGAAAGUGCCCCUAAAGCCGAGAAUGAUUUAGGAGAGGGGAGAAAGACAGUCAUAAAGUUGCCUUCAACUGACACUUCAGUUCUGGAACUUCCGAUAUUCAUUCGUAAUUCUCAUUUUGUGACAUCAUCUUGGGUGAUAUUCCAGCCACAGAAAGAGGCUGGGUGAUCACCGUAGAGCAAAGCCAAGAGGAACAGCAGACAGCCUGCCACCGAUUCAAAGCAUCUUCUGGAUGCAUGGCCCAGAUUAAGCUAAUUGGCUUUAAGUGGCAAAGCAGGGCAAAACAAUCCUAUUCUGUGACUAAUUCCACUGUGGGAACGGUUGCUAUGCUGAACCUGACAAUAUUGAAUGGUUGGAAAGUAUCUGAAGAUCGAGUAUUAACCUUUGAAGGGGAGAUACCUUUCUCUUAAUUUCCUUUCCUCCUUAAUAAGCAGACCCAAUGAAUUGGAUUUGCAGAUUUUUGUGGAGAUCCACCAGGUAGAGAGCAUCUGAUCAUUCUUAGGUUUGAUUCCUUGCAUGAGAUCCCUUUUCCUGGAGUGGCAAAUCCGAUUCCUAGAUUUCAUCUCAUCCCAUGGACAGAAAGCCACUUGGCCUCUUAGUUACAUGCUGAAGUGAUAUGGUCCCUCAUGUUGAGACAGAUCUGUGCACAAUCCAUGGAGAUAGUCCACAAGAUGGUGAUGGAUUAAAGCCCAGACCUGGUUUGUGGGUGUUUCAACUGCUACCUCUGCAUAAAAUGGCUAACAAUUGGUCUGUGUCUACCUGAGUCAAGACAAACUGAAGGUAUUGUAACAAAUUAUGCCCAUUUUGAGAAGUAUGAAGGCAGCCUUUGUAUCUAAGCUAUGUCUUUUCCAAAUCACCCCCUGAUUCACUGAAGACAAAUUUCUUAAAAAAAAAAUCGCAAUUAAAUCAAAACACCUAACCUAUUCCAAGGUGAAGCACCACUGGGACAGGAUAUGUUAAGCAUUUUGCGGAUUCAGAUGGAAUUAUAAUCAUCUUUAAUCUUACAUUUGAAUAUGGGUAACCUAUUCUGCUCACAGAACAUUCCCAGAAUUAUAUAUCUAAAACAAAAACACACUGCCAGAUCAGUGCAGCAGACACUAUUAAUAUUCUGAGAAAGAAAAUCAAAAUGGCUACUUUUGAAGUGGAUAAGUCGCACACUAUUGUCAAAAAUCAUGCCUUAUAAACCAUACUACUUGGAUUCACACAUUAGCUAAGCCCAGCAAGGAAUUUUCAAUUUACUGUAGGGUGUGUUUAGCCUUAGUUUUUUGUUUCAGGUGGAAUCAUGGCAACAAAUCAAGAAAAAAAAAGAGGAAAAAAAAAUGAAAUGUCUUGCUGACAAUACGACUACCAUUAAUCUAAACCAGGGGAACUGUUUGUACACAAGACGGGCCUAUUUGAAUUCUGCUAUUUCAUCCUCUUCAGUAAAAUAUACAUUAGUAGCAGACCUGGUGACAUCUUGUUGACCAGCACACAGAACUGCUUUGUUACAAGGGCUUGGUACAUAAUCUGAAAACCAGCAACAGUGCAAAUGUGAAAUGAGAGGCAAGGGCCAAGAGAAUGUGGUAGGGUAGACACUGCACUGGAAAAGAUCAAUGAGAUCCUACAAUUCAGAACAUCGAAGCUUCCAAAGUACUUCUGAAAGGAAACCACGAAAGAGGGGAUUUGGCAAUAUAGGAAAGAGGACUCGAGGAUGCUUGUCAUCUAUUUUCAGGGUUUUUUAUCAUCUAUUUUCAGGGUUUUUUGGUGUCAGCUUUACAAAGGUUGACUGAGAUUUUGCGCACCAACUGACUUAUAAAAUAAAAUGUAUUUAUUACGUUGAUUUCUGGGGAAAGAUGUGUGCUAUUUAUCCAUCUAAAAUGAUCUGCAAUAUUCUCGGGGCAAGACGGGCAGCAAAUAAAUAAUCUGCAAUAUUCUAAUGAUUUCCACAGUAGCUGGUUCGUGGGAAUCUCAAGGUUUUGUUUUGUUUUUUUAUCCCCCAGGUAUCCAUUCUGUAAAGCAGGGAGUAGUGGAGAAAUAUGCAACAGACUUAAAACCCCUAGAGGCCUUAUUCCAAUUCUGCUACAGCCAGGAUACAAGCAAACAGCUCACAGUGCUGAGAAUCCUGAAUUCUGACCCUCCUCUCAAAAAUGAGCCAAGCCAUCGUCUUUGGACUGUACCAUUACCUUCUGGGGAAUGAAACACUGGAAUGCUGGCUAAGCUAAUGGACUACAGCAGGGGUAGGCAACCUUGGCUCUUUUAUGACUCGUGGACUUCAACUCCCAGAAUUCCUGAAGUCCACGGGUCAUGAAAGAGCCAAGGUUGCCUACCCCUGGUCUAAAGGAAUAGUCUCUCUCUCUCUCUCCCUCUCUCUCACACAUACACAAAGAGGGUGCUGUAAAAACAUGCACUUCACAUCUGGUUACUCAGGAGCCACAGCACUGGCUUGUCUCUUCAGGGUGUCUGGCUCAGGAAUUCUGGGAAUUGAAGUCCACGAGUCAUAAAAGAGCCAAGGUUGCCUACCCAUGGACUACAGACACAGAGCCCCCCUUCAAGUGCCGAUAGUCUGAGUAGAUCGCUCUUUUGCCAUGCUGCUAUGAUUUGAAGUUGAAAUUUUCCUCUUUCGUUCUGGCCUCUAAAACAUGAAUGUGUUUAAUUAAAUGUGGUUAACAGUUGACUUCCCACAGUUUUGUUUUUAUUUAUGUACUGACAAGUUAUAAAAUUAUACCAAUCUAUUUUAACACAGGUUUUUUUUUUUUUUAAUGAUCUGUACACACAUGGAAUGAAAUAAGACUCCCAGAGGAGUGAAUAAAACCUGGGGGACCAAGAGACUUCAAAACCCACCCAAAAUUAUGAAAUGAGCAGCUCGAACUUUGGCUGAAGGGGUAUUUUACUCACAAAAGGAAGCCUCUUCCAUGCACUUCUAUUCACCUGAAAAACAAUCUUAGACAAACAAACAGUGUAGACACUCUACAAAUUUACUUACCACAAGCAGCUUUUCAUACUGCGCCUGCAUGGGCACUGUAUUAGAAGAUGCACAUCACACUGCAGAGCCCAAUUCCUAUAUCAGCAUGCUUGAAAAGGACUUAAAUAUCUCUUGCAAGCCUAAUGUUUAGCUUCUGCAGAUGUCACCCUCACCUGCAGAUGUCAGAGGUUGGAGGAAGAUACUACUAGGGGUUGUGCUUUUCAAGGUAGCCCUUGACUGUAUCCUCCCACCAAGCCCUCAUGCAACUUGAAAGCAACACCAGUUUGAACCCCUCCAAGUAUCAGGCACAACAUCCGACAAGACAUUAUCAGAUUCAUGCCCAGAUCUCCUUAUAAAAAGCACAAUGAAAGAGAUAUGUGUGUAGGAGCAUUUGCCUAAUUCCACACCACUCAUGUUCAUUCUUGAUUCAAGUCAGCUUUGGUUGUUUUUUGUCUCUAGUUUGAACAAAUGGAACCCAUAACCAUUGGUUGAGUUGGGGAGGCUACAAACAUUAAAAACUUAAUUAAAUACAUCUUUGCCAUUACAUACAUUCAGGUUUGAUUUCAGGUUUUUGCAUCAAGGCAUUGCUACUAAAACAAAAGGCAUCAACUUCUCUAUGCUUCACCCACCUUUAAAACAGAGGAAUGGCACUCUGCCUCCUCCCCCAACAGGGAGCUACAGAGAGGUGGAUGCGUAACAAAACAGAGAUAAGCUAUUGCUUAAAUAGUAUGUCCAUGUUUCCCACAGGAUUUCAAAAACAGCAGAGGUACCCGUUUUCAAGUCAAUUGGAAUAAUGCAAGAGGUUGCAUGAUUUUUACCGAACGUUAUCAUCGGUGUCUUACUAAACACAGGAAAGGAAGCCUGGUUUUCCAAGUGAAUCACUCAAGACCCACACCAAUUACAAAACACUCAAUUGGUGCCUCUUGGGCUGAAGGUGGUCUGGGGCCAAGACUAUAUGUCUUCCCGGAAUAUUCAAAAUAUUCAGUUGUUGGCCUGUGGGGUAAGAACGAUCUAUAUACUUUUCUUUCCCACCCACUCCCAGUGCAGAUUUGUGUGUGAUUCUGCAGCUGGUACACUUCACCCCCACUAUCUGGUGCAGCCCACCGCUUAAAUUUCCUCAGGUAGGUCUUGAAGAUGUUGCUCCACGGAGGGCCUCUUCAGCUUCCAUUCGCUGCUUUCGGGCACAACAGAAGCCACCACAGCAGUCUGGAUCUGAUUCCUGGUCUCUAAUACAGGAUAUACGAUACACCAGCAUGGAGAACCCCUUUUACUUGAGGGGAAGGAAGAGGUGAAAGUUUUCUAAUGACUUAUUCAGCCAGCUUAAGAAAAUGAUAAAAAAACAGAACAUAUUAUACAUAGUAAUAACAUUCAGCAUUUGGCUAAGAAAAGGCUCAAAGACGCCUCAAAUAAUUUGAGCAUUCCUGAAAAAUGUAAUGGAGCAAUUCAUCCAUUCCCUUUGCUCCCAAGUGCACUUGUUUAGGUAAAAAUUUAACCCCGAUUCUCUUUAAUCCCAUUAAACACCGUGUUUUUAAUAAUUUCAUAUCAAUCUUUGCAUUCUGCCUGUAGUGCUCCAAGGUGCAGAACUUUUUAAGAAUUAACUUGUAAAGAAUUAAGUUAUAAAUUUCAAGUUAUAAAUUUGAUGUCUCUGGAAAAUGCUGAUUUCCUGUCCUUGAACACAGCGUUCAAAGAGCCUCAUUAUUGUUAGAUGUAGGACUGUUUCCUGUACCUCUGAAUAUUCAAGCUAAACCUUGAGAACUUUCCUACUGAUCUAGUCACUGUUAAGUUCCAAUUAUAAAGGUAAAUGUAUAAUAGCACUCUGAUGUCACCACUGAUUCUCUAAUACAAAUUAACAAAGGCAACUCAACUGUCUCUAAACUAUUUUCAGAAACAAAAAUUAAGUUAUUCUUAGGUUUUAUGCACAGAUUAUUGUAUUGAUUCCUAAAUGCUACAUAACUCAGAGCAACUAUAAGCAUGUCCUAAGGUAAGAUACAUUUAGUCCCUGGAGUAUUUUCUGUCAGGGAAUAAUAUCUUAUUAUCCUAAAUGUUAUCCUUACUAUCCUAUCCCAGCUCCAUCUUAGAAUAUGCUAGAGUCCUGGUAGCACAGUGGAUAGAAUGCUGUAUUGCAGGCUGAUUCUGCCCACUGCCAGGAGUUUGAGCCUGACCAACUGAAAAUUGACUCAUCCUUCCAUCCUUCCGAGGUCAGUAAAAUGAGGAGUGAUAUGCUGACUCUGUAAACUGCUUAGAGGGUUGUAAACACUAUGAAGCGGUAUAUAAAUCUAAGUGCUAUUGCUAUCUUAUAAACCCUCCAUAUAGAACAUUUUGUUAUGCAAAACCGUAACAGAGAGCAAGGUACUGUUUGUGAUGAUAAAGGAUCAGAAUUUUUACUGCUUGCUUCUCCAAUAAAGACAGACUUAAUCUGGAUUAGCACAAUGAUUUCUUUUCUUUAAAAUAUUUUUUUUGUCUUGUGAAGGGUUUAUUUCCUACUCUUAAUUGCGUAUCUGUUUUAGUUUGAUUUAUCUAGCUACUUAUAGCCUCUUUUAGGUUUUUUUUUACAAAAAAAAACAGCUUUUCAAUUAUUUUAAAGCAUUCACUGCAAUUUUUUCUUUCCUUUACAUAU